CAUAUCGAAGAGCUUGUCAAUUCGGAGGUGACCAUUGCUGAAGCCACUCGAGCUCUUACUGGCUAUAUUUCUACUGGCGAGCUCAAUGAUAUUUUCGCUGUGUUGAUGCUUUCCGUCUUC
rnacentral:snRNA from 1 species